rnacentral:rRNA from 1 species
AGUGAACGCUGGCGGUAGGCCUAACACAUGCAAGUCGAACGGCAGCACAGUAAGAGCUUGCUCUUACGGGUGGCGAGUGGCGGACGGGUGAGGAAUACAUCGGAAUCUACUUUUUCGUGGGGGAUAACGUAGGGAAACUUACGCUAAUACCGCAUAUGACCUACGGGUGAAAGCAGGGGAUCUUCGGACCUUGCGCGAUUGAAUGAGCCGAUGUCGGAUUAGCUAGUUGGCGGGGUAAAGGCACACCAAGGCGACGAUCCGUAGCUGGUCUGAGAGGAUGAUCAGCCACACUGGAACUGAGACACGGUCCAGACUCCUACGGGAGGCAGCAGUGGGGAAUAUUGGACAAUGGGCGCAAGCCUGAUCCAGCCAUACCGCGUGAGUGAAGAAGGCCUUCGGGUUGUAAAGCCCUUUUGUUGGGAAAGAAAAACAGCAGGUUAAUACCCCGCUGUUCUGACGGUACCCAAAGAAUAAGCACCGGCUAACUUCGUG